GCAGGAUGAAUGUUAUCCCUCGGUCCAACCCACUUUCAGCCUGGCGCAUUAGGGGGCGCUAGUAUAAAUAGUGGCCAUUUGAGUGUCCCUGGAUCGCUUACCUGUGAUCUCCUUUUUGGUCACCUGACUUCCCUUUGGUGUUGCCGAGAUCAUUUGCGGGUUACUCUUCUGAAGCCUCCAUCGCAGCUGGUCGUAGCUGUAGAAGCCUCCUCUGAGCCAUUCUGCUCACGUUCUAUGACACGGCUUACUUGGAAGUGUGGGCCUGAGUUUUGCGCCAAGCUACGUGAACUGAAGUGCUGCUGUUUUGCUUUGCUUUGCUUUGCUUUUACCGUCUGUUCCCGUUGCGAGAUUUCUUUUCCUGCUGCUGCCAGCUUUUACAGUGGACGUCGGCGUGGACAGCGGCCAUAUGCAUGCCGGUUAUGGGAGUCAGCUGGCGUGCAUAUUGAUUGACCGUUAACUUGUAGUCGUGCAGACGGCAAGUUGGAGCAAUACGGCGAUUCCGUUUGCUCCAGAUUUUAGAGUUUUAUCCAGAUUGUAUGUUUUACUGUUUUUUGAUUUGUAGUUUGGAUUUUUGUUACGCCACUGGUGGGAGGCCCUUUUUUCUAGCUGUAGAUCACCAGUGUGGUCCUGCAGUUGGGUUAUCCCCCAGCGCUACAUAUUAGUUUUGUUGUAAUAUAUUAAAAUUUCCUUUGUUUCUUUUAUUCAGAUGCGGAGCGCCGACGUGGAGGAGACUUGGGUGCCUUGGUGGUGGGAUCCUUUGCGUGUACACACCUGCCUUGUUUAGUUUAUUAGUGUGAGUGUGUGAUUGUGUGCUGCACUUGUCUUGGUGUGUUUUCUUUUUUUAGUUUGUGUGUGGCAUCCCUGCCCCUCCACUGGUAAGCCUCAGCUCUGAAUACCUUUUUAAUCAUAUUUGUACAUGGAUAUUUAUGAUUGUGCUUUUAUACGGUGUUUUAAAUAAGUUGACAAUUUAUUAAUAAUUGUUUAUCAUUGAACCUCGUCUCUGUACUGAGUAUAGCGAACCUAAGUGCCUUUUUGGUGAUUCAGUGUUACUUCCAGUAUUCUCUGGGUGAAAUUCCCAGGGUGGCGUUGUCUUUUUAAAACUGAAGAGUAUUUACUUUAUUUCCACCUCGUGCUGCCACAUACUGUAUAUCCAAAAAUGAUUUAUUGUUAGCUGAAAAUGGCAAGUGGUGGAGGAACUUUUCAAACCAUUCCUUUAGGAAAAGGAAACAAUAAAACACUGUGAAAGCAUCUCUCCAUUACCAUAUGAAUACAUUACAUAUUAUGUUGUUAAUGUUUUGUCAAGCUUUUGAACUGUUUGACCUGCCAUACCUGACCAGCUCCAGUCUUUGCUAAUGGGAGAUGAACACACCCUCAAAACGAGAGCUGCAGUUUUGUGAGAUUAUGAAAAGCUUUCAGAGACAAUAGAUGCCACAAGAUGGCAGUAAUAUAAAGGCUGGUUGAACAUGUUAAUUGACAGGCAGAGAUGAAAGGAGAGAUCGCUUUACUUUGGUACGUUUUUCAUUUAUGUCUAUUUUUAGAUUCCUACACUCACUGGUCACUUUGUUAGGUACACUUGCUUAACUGCUCAUUAAUGCAAAUAUCUGAAAAGCCAAAUAUAUGGCAGCAACCCACAUUUAAUCACGCAGACUAUGAUCAAGAUGAUCAGCUGAAGUUUAAACAGCAACAGAACGGGAAAGAAACGUGAUUUAAGCGAUAGCUGUUGGUGGGAUUUUUUUUUUACUGGGAUUUUUCCACACAACUACCUUUGUUGAGAAAAUAUGCAGAGCAUCAGUUCUCUGCAAGAAAGUGCCUUGAUGAUGGCAGAGGUCAGAGCAGAAUGAAGCAAUAUUACUUAUUUAUUGUUCUGUAAUUAUAAAACAGAAAGCUGUUUUUCCAGUCAUUCUGGAUUCCUUUUACUGUAUAAUUCUUAGAAGUGCUCCAAAACAAUAAAACUUCAGAAGUGUGGUCAUAGCUGGUCUUGGAAAUGGUAAACCCCUUGCCACAAAAAUUUAUAUCAACAGGAAAGUUUCAAAUAAAUUAGCAGUACUGUCAAAAUGAGUAAAACAAACUGGUAUGUGAAAGUCUAUUGCAUAAAAGAAUGUAUUUUAACAUUUUUCCAAAACUGGC